GCUGUCGUCAGCUCGUGUUGUGAAAUGUUGGGUUAAGUCCCGCAACGAGCGCAACCCUUAUCCUUUGUUGCCAGCGAUUCGGUCGGGAACUCAAAGGAGACUGCCAGUGAUAAACUGGAGGAAGGUGGGGAUGACGUCAAGUCAUCAUGGCCCUUACGACCAGGGCUACACACGUGCUACAAUGGCGCAUACAAAGAGAAGCGACCUCGCGAGAGCAAGCGGACCUCAUAAAGUGCGUCGUAGUCCGGAUUGGAGUCUGCAACUCGACUCCAUGAAGUCGGAAUCGCUAGUAAUCGUGGAUCAGAAUGCCACGGUGAAUACGUUCCCGGGCCUUGUACACACCGCCCGUCACACCAUGGGAGUGGGUUGCAAAAGAAGUAGGUAGCUUAACCUUCGGGAGGGCGCUUACCACUUUGUGAUUCAUGACUGGGGUGAAGUCGUAACAAGGUAACCGUAGGGGAACCUGCGGUUGGA
rnacentral:rRNA from 1 species